UACGAAGGGGGCAAGCGUUGUUCGGAAUGACUGGGCGUAAAGGGCGCGUAGGCGGUGGUUCAAGUCAGGCGUGAAAGCCCCGGGCUCAACCUGGGAACGGCGCUUGAGACUGGACCGCUCGAGUUCGGGAGAGGAUGGUGGAAUUCCCAGUGUAGAGGUGAAAUUCGUAGAUAUUGGGAAGAACACCGAGGGCGAAGGCAGCCAUCUGGACCGACACUGACGCUGAGGCGCGACAGCGUGGGGAGCAAACAGGAUUAGAAACCCCAGUAGUCC
rnacentral:rRNA from 1 species